rnacentral:miRNA from 10 species
CAUCAGUCCAGGGCUUAGUCAGCGGGGCCCGGAGUGGCUUCCCUGGCUGGCACCUGGACUUAGGC